rnacentral:misc_RNA from 1 species
AAGUCGUAACAAGGUAACCGUAGGUGAACCUGCGGUUGGAUCAUUAACAAUGGUUUUCAAACCUUUAUUCUGUGCACUGUAUUGUUUUUGGUGUUUUCCGCCUCUUUCUUCGGAGAGGAGCGGAGGCACCGACAUUUUUAAACCAUGUAUUGUAUCGAGUCUUGAAUUUGUAUUAAAAUGAAAAACUUUUGACAACGGAUCUCUUGGCUCUC